rnacentral:rRNA from 1 species
GACGAACGCUGGCGGCGUGCCUAAUACAUGCAAGUAGAACGCUGAAGACUUUAGCUUGCUAAAGUUGGAAGAGUUGCGAACGGGUGAGUAACGCGUAGGUAACCUGCCUAUUAGCGGGGGAUAACUAUUGGAAACGAUAGCUAAUACCGCAUAACAGCUUUUAACUCAUGUUAGGAGCUUGAAAGGUGCAAUUGCAUCACUAGUAGAUGGACCUGCGUUGUAUUAGCUAGUUGGUGAGGUAACGGCUCACCAAGGCGACGAUACAUAGCCGACCUGAGAGGGUGAUCGGCCACACUGGGACUGAGACACGGCCCAGACUCCUACGGGGGGCAGCAGUAGGGAAUCUUCGGCAAUGGGGGCAACCCUGACCGAGCAACGCCGCGUGAGUGAAGAAGGUUUUCGGAUCGUAAAGCUCUGUUGUAAGAGAAGAACGUGUGUGUGAGUGGAAAGUUCACACAGUGACGGUAACUUACCAGAAAGGGACGGCUAACUACGUGCCAGCAGCCGCCGUAA